GACGACGCUGGCGGCGUGCCUGACACAUGCAAGUCGGACGGUUCUUGUACCUUCAAGCUUGCUUGUUGGUGCAAGGAUAGUGGCGGACGGGUGAGUAACGCGUGAACAUCUACCCAUUGGAGGGGGACAACCCGUCGAAAGGCGGGCUAAUACCGCGUAAGCCGCGAGGUGAGAGGCUGCCUAUUGGUGGCCGCCGAUGGAUGGGUUCGCGUCCUAUCAGCUGGUUGGUGGGGUAACGGCCUACCAAGGCGAAGACGGGUAGCCGGUCUGAGAGGAUGGCCGGCCACACUGGAACUGAGACACGGUCCAGACUCCUACGGGAGGCAGCAGUGGGGAAUAUUGGGCAAUGGGGGAGACCCUGACGCAGCAACGCCGCGUGAGUGAGGAAGGUUUUCGGACUGUAAAGCUCUGUCGAGCGGGAAGAAAUGCCUGAUGGCUAAUAUCCAUCAUGCUUGACGGUACCGCUAGAGGAAGCACCGGCUAACUCCGUG
rnacentral:rRNA from 1 species